GAACUGAAUUUGCUGAGGAGUAUGGGGAACGUUUGUUUCUUGUUUUGCACAUUCACUGCGAUGUGAAGCUGUUGUGGCCACAGUGGUAUCUAAUUAGCCCACAACACUUAGAAAAUGAACCUGACAACAAGACUGCUGUGAAAGUUAACACCUGGCUUCCAGGAAGCUGUCCUGAGCCCAUACGCUUUAUUUUAUCUCUUCCCUCCUGCACCAAACUGGCUUCUGAUUUCUGCCUGUGCCAAGGACUCUUACCGUUAACUCAGGCGAGGGCUUGGGGUGUUAGAAAACUAUUUCAAAUUCAGUGCCAUUUCAGUGCUGGUCAAAGGCUGUGCACACUGAAGAAGUGAAAGUAUGGGUUUUGCUUAGGGGACACUGCGCGGUACACGUUCUUAAACCACUGCCUGACGAAAGAGAUGAAGAAGUUGAAGAUCACAGAAGUUAAAUGAAUUGCCAGAAACCACCACCGGACAGGAUUGACAAUAAAAAUGAGCUCCCUACUUAUCUCUGAGAACCAUUUAAAUUUGUAGCCAUUGUUUGCCAGGAGGGACUGGUAAUGCAAUCAUAGCCUGUCUGCUGUGACUCUUGACACCACACGUAAGGACAGCUGUAUUUGUAGACCCCAGGAAGUGAACCAGCGGAAGUAUUGUUAAUGAAGCAACUUUCACGAAGAUGAAGCUUGCAUGCUGGCAGCUUCUCCGUCUUGGCCUUUUAUUACUUCUUACAGAAUCUUGAACAUAAAAGAUUAGUGCGCAAUAAGACAGUGCCUGGAGAGAAACGGACAAUAUAUUGGCAGCUUAGAAGACAAUUUCUGGGUAGGAAAACAAUUCUCUGUUCUUCCUUCCCAAAAGUUUGCUCAUUUGGGAGCC